AAAAUGAAAUGGAACUGAGAUACCAUAAAUUUUAACAAGUAAAAAACUUUGAUUUAUAUCAUUAGUACUUACCAAUUACAACAUCUUAAUUAAUUAAUUAAUGAAAUAUUUGUAGACAACCAAAAAAAAAUAUGUAAAAAUGUAGAUGAAUAAAUAUGGUUCCCAAGCGGAAGAAUGGGAAAGAAAUAUUGUAUUUUUGAAAGUUUGGGUUUUUGAAUGAAAGAAAGAGAAAGAGAAAGAAAAAAAAAAUAAUUAAAUGGAGGAGAUAAGAAUAAAUUAGUAAUUUAUUUAAAUCAUUAUUAUUUAAUUUAAAAAUAUUAUUAAAAAAUAAUUUUAUGAAUAAUCUAGUACAUUCUACAUAUUAACCAUUUAUAUACACUCAUCAAUUUAUUACCAUUAGAUUAAAUAUCUAUGGCUAUAAGAAUAUGCCUACCAUACGGACAAAACUAAGGUGCUUACCAUAGACAUAUCCUUUAAUAUCGGGGAUUUUUACACUUGGUGUCUCAUUUUACCAUUUUUUUUUACAUUUUUGUCUUUAUUUAGUUAUUUAAACAUUUUUAAAAAAAUUGUUUUUCAAUUUUAUAUUUUAAAAAGUUUGAUAAUUAUAAAAAUACAUAUGCAUGCCUAUGUCAUGGGUUUUCUCUCAUAUUACACUCCAUCUACUUUCUUCUCUUUCAUUCAUGCUUAUGUCAUGGGUUUUCUCUCAUAUUACACUCCAUCUCUACCACCUUCUUCUCUUUCAUUCUUUUUUUUUUUUAAUUUUUCUUUUAUUUUCUGUUAGUUUUUUUUUUUCUUUUUCCAUAACCCAUUAUCAUUCCCUGUGAAGCCCUAAUCCACGAUCUCCCCUACCUUCCAUAGCUGCAUUUCUUUUUUCCUCUUACAGUUAAUUUUCUUCUUCUAUAAAUGGCCACCACUAGGUCUGGUUCCAAGUCCCUUUCACCUGCUAAAAAAAAUUCAAAAAAUACUAAGAAACCUCCUUCAAAGUCCUCUAAAGUUGAUCCUAAAAUUGGUUUGAAAGACAUUGCGAACAAGGGAAUGGAUGAUGAUGCAGAGCCAUUUGGUCCAAAAAAAAGACAUCUUCCAGCUAAGAUUGAAUCUCUAAGGCAAAGAGAACCAAAUCUUCGAAAUUUGUCAAGGAUGUUCUCUCCGAUUCUGACUUCGAGGAUGAAGUUCCUGAUUUGGAAGUGAAGCCUAAAGUUAAGCCCAAGGGUUGUUUACCUUGAAUUUUUUCAUUUUUUCAUUUGUUUUUUUAUCUCAUUUUUUGUUUUUUAGUUUUGUUUUUUUUUUUUUGUUGCUGCUAUUAAAUAGUUUUUAGCAUUAUUUAACCAAACUAUGUCCUGUUUCUAUUUCUCAAUUUGGGCUUUCUUAUUAGUUAUUUUUAAGUUUUAAAUGUGUUUUUUUAAGGUUUAUUGUUGUUUUUAUUCUCAUUUUUUGUAGGAAGGUUUUGUGUUUUCAUAACAUUUUUUUUCUUAUUUUUAAUUCGUGGUUUGAUUGUUCUUUUAGUGUUCUAUUGACUUUUUCUGAACAGUUGUUUUAAUGUUUAUGUUUAAUAGUUUUAGUGCUGUUUAAUUUUAUUUCCCAGUUAGCAAUUUUUUUAGUAAUUUUUGUUUUUCAAAUUGUUGUUAAUAUGUUUUUUCCCAGUUGUUCAUCUUUUAGGUUGUUUAUGUAUGGGUGAUUUUAAAAUAUUAUUUUGGUUGCGUUCUAGUUUUUUUCUGGAAGCUUAGAUGAUGUUUGUUUUUUCAUAUUUUUGUACCUUAAAUUUUUUCUCUAAUUCGAUUAUGGGUAAGAUUCAAUGUUUUUUUGAUCUCCUUCUUCAAAUCCUCUCCUCUGUACGCUUUCAGUUUUUGUUUGUAUGUUAUUUUUGUAUUUUUUUUACAGCAAUGGAGGUCGAUAUCUCUAUUUUUUUCUUUUUCCCUUUUUUGUAUUUGGAUUUUUUGGGAUUUUAUUGCUUUUUCCUUGAGAUCUACACCUUGAUUUGAGCUAAUUUACCUAGUUUUUGAAAGAAAAUAGUGGAGAUAUGGUGGAUUGGGAUGUUUCGGCUGGCUCACGAAGAAGGAGGAGUUUCCUCCGUGUUUCUUGUUAAGCUGGUAUUUUUGUAAAUAGAAACUUUUGUUUUCUAUUUAUGUUUAUUUUUCCUUUAUAAGGUAUAAAUGUAAAAUAUUGCUUUUAUUAGUUUAUUAUAGACAAAUUCCCUUAAUAUUGAUUAUUAGAUCUAUAAGUUGAGUUAUAUUUUGUACAAAAAGUAGUGUUGUAAUAUUUUUACAUUAACUUUUAUUAUUGUAUUCCAAUGCAUAAUUACAAAGUAACUCUUUCAUUCUUUCGCU